UGCCCUAUAGCUCAAUGGCAGAGCGUGCGGCUGUUAACCGCUUGGCUGUAGGUUCGAAUCCUACUAGGGCAGCCA
rnacentral:tRNA from 1 species